rnacentral:rRNA from 1 species
GACGAACGCUGGCGGCGUGCUUAACACAUGCAAGUCGAACGGGAAGGCCCUUCGGGGUUCUCGAGUGGCGAACGGGUGCGUAACACGUGGGUGAUCUGCCCUGCACUUUGGGAUAAGUCUGGGACACUGGGUCUAAUAUCGGAUCGGAACCCGGCAGUCAUGUGCUGUGGAGGAAAGGUUUUGCGGUGUGGGAGGGGAACGCGGCGGAUGAGCUUGUUGGUGGGGGAAUGGCCUACGAAGGCGACGACGGGUCACCGGCCGUGGAGGGUGACCGGCCACCCGGGGCCUGAGAGACGGCCCAGACUGCUACGGGGGGCAGCAGUGGGGAAUAUGGCACAAUGGGCGCGAGCCGGAGGCAGAGGCGCCGCGGGAGGGAUGACGGCCUGCUGGUUGUGAACCUCUGCCGGCAGGGACGAAGCGCAAGUGACGGUACCUGAAGAAGAAGGACCGGCCAACUACGUG